rnacentral:rRNA from 1 species
GAUGAACGCUGGCGGCGUGCUUAACACAUGCAAGUCGAACGAAGCACCUUGAUUUGAUUCUUCGGAUGAAGAUCUUGGUGACUGAGUGGCGGACGGGUGAGUAACGCGUGGGUAACCUGCCUCAUACAGGGGGAUAACAGUUAGAAAUGACUGCUAAUACCGCAUAAGACCACAGCACCGCAUGGUGCAGGGGUAAAAACUCCGGUGGUAUGAGAUGGACCCGCGUCUGAUUAGGUAGUUGGUGGGGUAACGGCCUACCAAGCCGACGAUCAGUAGCCGAGAUGAGAGGGGGACCGCCGACAUUGGGACAGAGACACGGCGCAAACACCUAUGGGAGGCAGCAGUGGGGAAUAUAGCACAAUGGGGGAGACACUGAGGCGGCGAGGCCGCGUGAGCGAUGAAGUAUUUCGGUAUGUAAAGCUCUAUCAGCAGGGAAGAAAAUGACGGUACCUGACGAAGAAGCACCGGCUAAAUACGUG